rnacentral:rRNA from 1 species
GACGAACGCUGGCGGCGUGCUUAACACAUGCAAGUCGAACGGUGAAGCAGGAGCUUGCUCCUGUGGAUCAGUGGCGAACGGGUGAGUAACACGUGAGCAAUCUGCCCUGGACUCUGGGAUAAGCGUUGGAAACGACGUCUAAUACCGGAUACGAGACGUGAAGGCAUCUUCAACGUCUGGAAAGAACUUCGGUCCAGGAUGAGCUCGCGGCCUAUCAGGUAGUUGGUGAGGUAAUGGCUCACCAAGCCUACGACGGGUAGCCGGCCUGAGAGGGUGACCGGCCACACUGGGACUGAGACACGGCCCAGACUCCUACGGGUGGCUG